ACAGGAUCUUGCUGUGCUGCCCAGGCUGGUCUUGAACUCCUGAGCUCAAAUGACCCUCCCACCUCAGCCUCCUGAAGUGCUGAGUGACAGACAAGAGCCACUGCUCCCAGCCAAAUUUCUAGAAAGACAACUCAACAUGGGCAUGGAGAAUGGCCUGGAAAGGGAGACUGCAGCCCCUUGCAGUCGCAGUGAUGAGGCUCAGAACGAGACAGGAUGUCAGCAAAGCCCUUUGACCUGGGCCUGGCAGUCAUCACUCUGGUCCCAUCUGGUCAGGGUGGCCGAGUUGACCUCCACCCCAUGGCCCAAGGCCGCUGCUCUGAAGGCUCGCCGAGCUGGCUGGAGAAGAGACUGACUCUAGCCUGCAACAGGGAAGUAGAAAUAUUUGCUCAGCUGCAAGGACAAGCUCAAGUCUCUCCUUCCACAUGAAGGGGAAAGAUGCUGGCAGGGUUGGGGUCUGUCCACGGUUCUCCCCCAGCUCCCAGAGCUCACCCCCGCCCAUCCACGUCUGCCUUUGAGCCAUCCAGAAAGUGUCCCUGCUCCUUCCCACAGCAGCCACUCAGAGCUCUGAAGUCAGCGGCCAUGACCUCUCUUUCUUUUUCUUCUCCAGUCGAACACACCCAACUCUUUCAUCUUUCCCUCAUGUGACAGGGACUGACCUUCAUUUUUAUUUUUAGAGAAAUGUCCAGAUUCAACAGCCAUGGAUUCAAAUCUUUUUUUUCAACUAGCUGACACAGACAAGGCUCCAUAAGGGUUUAGAGCCGCGACUUUGACAUGAGACUGCCUGGGCUUGAAUCCCAGCCUGAGCUCUGCCGCCACUCUGCUGUGUGACCUUGGGCGAGUCGCUUAAUCUUUCUGAGCCUCACUGGGUCUUUUCUCUAAGGAGGUAUUUGUAACCCCUUUCUCAAAGAAUUGUUGAAAGAGUCAAUGAGCAAGUAUUUUACAAAGUGCUUAGGACAGUGUCUGGCACAUAGUAGGUGCUCAGGAAACCGUAGCUACUAUAGUCUAUGCCUCUGGACACCUCAGCCCCUCUCCAGCUUCUUUCAAUGCAUGGUACUAGGCAGCUGUGCAUUCACCACCUGCCAGGCCUUGAGUCAAUACUUCCGGGCUGGGAAGACAAGCUCCUCCCCAGUGGAUGGGCGUGGCGGCUCACACCUGUAAUUCCAGCACUUUGAGAGGCUGAGGUGGGGAGAUCAUCUGAGCCCAGGAAUUCAAGACCAGCUUGGGCAACAGAGCAAGACCCUGUCUCUACAAAAUUUUUAAAAAUUAACUGGGUGUGGUGAUACAUGUGCCUGUAGUCCUAGCUACUCAGGAGGCUGAGGUGGGAGGAUUGCUUGAGCUCGGAAGGUUGAGGCUGCAGUGAGCUGAGAUUGCACCAUAGCACUCUAGCCUGGGAAACAGACACUGUCUCAAAGAAAAAAAACAAAAACAACAACAAAAGAUGAUGAUCCCCAGUAAUUUUUAUCUAUUUUUAUUUUUAUUUUUGUCUCUUGCUAUUAUGCCUGGAGUCAUCCCCUCCCUUUGAAUUCAGGAGAACCUGUGACUUGUUUCUAACUAGCAGACGUGACAGGAUGUCAUUUCUGGGAUGAAGUUUGGUAAGACUGCAACUUCCUUCUUGCCAGUAGCUUCUCUCCCUGGCUGGCUUGCUGCAGCCAGCUGCUACUCUGUAAGCAGCCCCAUGGAGGGGCCUGUUUGGCAGGGAGCUGAGGGUGGUCUACAGCCAACACCAGCAAGACAGCCUACAAGGAGCUGAAUGCCGCUGUGAAACUAUGAAUAUUCAAAGUAUAUAUUUUUCUUCAUCCCUGAUUCCUGGCACAAAGCUUCUAAAACGCCUGUAAUUUCCUGAGUGAAGGGAUGAUAGGAGCAUCUGUUGUUACAGUAUUUGGUCUUAGUCCCUGGUUCCUGGUGUAAGAGCUUCUGAGACUCUUGGUAUCUCUGGAGUGAUGAAUGUCUUUCGUAUGCUGAUGAGAUGACUGGUAGUUGGGGGUCCCUAGAUAGCUUCAGGGCUGGGGCUGGUUGCCAGAAAGACUGAGGCAAGAUGAGGAAGUUGAAACUUUCAGAUCUAUCCCCCAGAGCUCUGGGGGAGGGAGAAAGGCUGGCGAUUGAGUUUAUCACCAAUGACCAACGAUUUUUAUCAGUCCCGCCGACAUAAUGGAACCUCCAUAAAAACCCUAAACAACAGGUUUAGAGAUCUAGGUUGCUGAACACAUUGAGGUGCUGCCAGGGAGGUACACCGAGAGGGCACGAGGCUCUGCAUCCUCCCCUGAUACACCCUGCUCUAUGCAACUCUUCCAUUUGGCUGUUCCUGAGUUGUAUCCUAUAUAAUAAACCAGU
rnacentral:lncRNA from 13 species